CUGUUUCUGUGCAUCAUGGUUGUUUUGUUAAGCUCCAGAUCAACAAUCUCAUAUGUCCAAUGUCAUACAUGAGCUAAAAAAUGGUCAACGGCAGGAGGACAUGCUUCUGUUUCAUGGUUUAUUUGAUUAUUUUAACAACAUUUGUUUAACAAAUAAUCAUUAUCAGUUGCGUUGUUGACUGAUAUCUGAAUCUGAAAUUGAAAAAUGUUUAAUACUGUUAAAAGUUGUUGGUAACAACAUUUGGGAAAGUUUAAGUUUGACCCGAAGAAAAUAAUACAUCGUUGUUUCAUGUUAUUGUUUUUGUUGAUCUUUUAGUCCUACUUUUAUAGCAAAAAAAAAAAAAAAAAAUUCGAGGAAGCCCCAACCUGUCUUAGUUUUGACUAAACUGCAUAAAUGGUCCUUGUGGUUUGCCGAAAAUUACCACUUUGGUCCAAAAAUGUUUGGAUUAAAACCACAGGUUCAAAGUUUUUCUUGUUGCAAGUUUGGUCUAAUUUACUUUAAAUUUUUUUAUAAUGAUGAUUUCACCCUUGUUUUUUUUUUUCUAGUUUUUUAUUUAUUUAAACAUUUUUAUGAUUAAAAGAAAAAUAAAAAAUACCUCUCUCUCUCUAUAUCUCUCUCUCUCUCCUACACAGUUCAUAUCUUCCACCUGGUUUUCACAUGCUGAAAAAUACGACCACCACGAUCAUCAGCCGGAGGCAUGAACAUCACUAAUGCUAUUGAUUGGUAACACCGAUCCUAUACAAUGAAUUUGUUCUUGGAUAUCAUCAUAGCUUCCUUCUCAUCGGGAUUGCAAAUUUGGGCAAUAUCCCUUUUAAAUUCGAGCAUAACCGCAUAGAGGUACCAGAUUCCACAUUAGAAAAAUCCACCAGCUUAAUAAUGUUACGAGAAGGGUCAGGAAGCUCAUCCAUAAUAGCAUCAACAACAAAAGGGACAUAAGUCGACGAACUAGAACCAAAUUUAUCAAAGUUGCACUACCCUUCAAACUCGAAAAUCGGUUUUCUGGGAAUUUCUCUUUUAUAUCAAUCUUUUUGACAAGUAAUGAAACCGGUUUAGGUUGCAAAGGGUCAAAAUGAUGGUUAGAGGCGUCAACAGGAACCAAUUUUGAGCCAAUAGUCGAUUUUGCACUUAUUUCCCCUUUCAGUGUAAAAACAUUGAGAUUCAGAUAUGGAGGAUACCCUCCAUGAAAACGAACAACAACUAAAUUCAAGGAAAUAGGAGAAAAAGGCGGUCAAGAAGGAAAGACGAAGGAACCAAAAUAUCUACCUGAAAGUCAACUACAACCCACCUUAAAUCUUCACUGUCGGAUUCUCCAUCUUGUUUUUCCAACAUCUCAAAACACAAAUUGAUUUUGAUUUCCAUCCGAGAACACAAAUUGAUUUUGAUUUUUGUUUUGAGGUAUGAUAAUGGAGGGUAACAAAAGGGAAGGGGCUGCCUUUUUUUUUUUUUUUUCUUCAGAGAGUGUGUUUAUGUUUUCGGGAAAAUGAUAGGGGUGGUGGUGAUAUUUAGAGAGAGAGAUAAAGAGAGAUAAAUGUAUUUUUUUUAUUUUUCUUUUAAUCAUAAAAAUAUUUAAAUAAAAAAACUAAAAAGGUAAAAAAAAAAAAAAGAUAAAAUCGUUAUUACAAAAAUUUUUAAAAUAAAUUAAAC
rnacentral:lncRNA from 1 species